GACGAACGCUGGCGGCGUGCCUAAUACAUGCAAGUAGAACGCUGAAGAGAGGAGCUUGCUCUUCUUGGAAGAGUUGCGAACGGGUGAGUAACGCGUAGGUAACCUGCCUUGUAGCGGGGGAUAACUAUUGGAAACGAUAGCUAAUACCGCAUAACAAUGGGUGACCCAUGUCAUUCAUUUGAAAGGGGCAACUGCUCCACUACAAGAUGGACCUGCGUUGUAUUAGCUAGUAGGUGAGGUAACGGCUCACCUAGGCGACGAUACAUAGCCGACCUGAGAGGGUGAUCGGCCACACUGGGACUGAGACACGGCCCAGACUCCUACGGGAGGCAGCAGUAGGGAAUCUUCGGCAAUGGGGGCAACCCUGACCGAGCAACGCCGCGUGAGUGAAGAAGGUUUUCGGAUCGUAAAGCUCUGUUGUAAGUCAAGAACGAGUGUGAGAGUGGAAAGUUCACACUGUGACGGUAGCUUACCAGAAAGGGACGGCUAACUACGUGCCAGCAGCCGCGGUAAUACGUAGGUCCCGAGCGUUGUCCGGAUUUAUUGGGCGUAAAGCGAGCGCAGGCGGUUUGAUAAGUCUGAAGUUAAAGGCUGUGGCUCAACCAUAGUUCGCUUUGGAAACUGUCAAGCUUGGGUGCAGAAGGGGAGAGUGGAAUUCCAUGUGUAGCGGUGAAAUGCGUAGAUAUAUGGAGGAACACCGGUGGCGAAAGCGGCUCUCUGGUCUGUAACUGACGCUGAGGCUCGAAAGCGUGGGGAGCGAACAGG
rnacentral:rRNA from 1 species